rnacentral:rRNA from 1 species
CAAUAGCGUAUAUUAAAGUUGUUGCAGUUAAAAAGCUCGUAGUUGAAUUUCUGGGCGGCCCGCCGGUCUUCCAUGUGUUGUACUGGGCGGCGCCGGCCAUCCUUGUGGAGAGGGCUCGCAUUUGGUUGCGUGUCGGAUCUGCAUCAUUUACUGUGAAAAAAUUAGAGUGUUUAAAGCAGGCUGUCGCUUGAAUACAUUAGCAUGGAAUAAUAAGAUAGGACUUCGGUCUAUUUUGUUGGUUGCGAACCGAGGUAAUGAUUAAUAGGGAUAGUUGGGGGUAUUCAUAUUUAAUUGUCAGAGGUGAAAUUCUUGGAUUUAUGAAAGAUGAACAACCGCGAAAGCAUUUACCAAGGAUGUUUUCAUUAA